AUCCAAACUUCAGGAAAUGCAGGUCAUGACAUUUUUUGUGGCAGUACAAAAUUCAAGUUCUGUGCAGAGGAAUUAAAUGCAAAGUAAAUAGGCUGGGAAAUAUUUGUAGGGUUUUGAAAAGGAAGGAAUUCUGCUCUGUAUUCAGUCAGAUGCACAUUAUGGAGGAGAAAAUAGCUCAGGGAGUGUUUUCUUUUCACUCUUAAUUUUCAUGUGACGUGAAUGUGGACAGGCCAAGCCAGGAUAUUAUAUUCACAUCAGCAAUGCCUUCAGAGAUUGUGAUGGCUUAGUGCAGUGAGACCCACAUGAAUCAAUAUUGAUUGGCCACUUACUUUAAGGCUACUUAAUUAAACCUAACAGGAUGGCACAGCUUCCAGACAAACCCACAGCUCUGUGAUUUAUGGGUGUGCUGGGGAGAAAGUGAGAAGGACACAGCAUAACAGCUCUCUUUACUCUGCAAUUGAGAUCUUUUUGUGUAAGGUGAAAUUAAAGAGUUUAAAGAGAAGAACUGAAUGAGUGCAAUAAAUAAACUGAAAGGGCUGUUUUGUCAUUACCUAGCCUGUUGGAGAGGACUUCUGGCUUUUUUACAGGGUACCUGACUGUCUUAUUGCAUAUUGGUAUCAUCCAGGGCAUCCAGCAUGAAGCUCUCUAAUGUUAAUGAUAAAAGACAAUUGCUUUCCUGUGGCUGGGGUUGGAGUGAGCACAUGUGGCAUCACUGCUCUGUCAGAGCUUGUGGAUAUCCCCGUGGGAUGUAAAUUGCCUUGAUGUCCCAGGGUCAAAAGCAGCAUGGCAGAUGUAAUGGCACAUCCCCUUUGGAAAAGCAACAAGAAAGAAAAGGAGUGCCCAGCCACUCAGAGCAAGUUGGUGAUGGAUUGGGAGCAAUAGAGGAGGGAUAAUCCAGGGCAGUUUGUUGAGACACAGGAAGCUUGAAGAUGGAUGACAUCCCUAGUUUUUCACUGUGCUCCUUCCAUAGAUACUAUUAAAUCCAGACUGGAAAAUGAAGCAGGCUACUGACUCCAAAGGGAGCUGUGCUUUCCAGGAGGAUCCUGGGGUUAGUGCCUACACCACUGAAAGCCAGGACUUUGCUUCAAAUCUCAUCCAUAACUUUUGGGAUAAAAAGAGAAAAAGAGGGCUGCUCCAAGGCCAUGGAUCAAGGACUGAGCAAGUCCAGGUCACAGUUUUGAAUGUUCCUGCUCAGGAUAUGCUAAAAGUCAAAGGAUAUUUGCAUCAUCUUCUUUUCUUGAGAAUCUAAAAGCUCAGCGAAGUGGCUGCACAUUGGGACAUGAAAAGUGCAUUUACAGGAUUAUUUUCUUGCAUUGAAGAGAAAUCAAGCAUUUUCUUCUGUAUAAAGAAAUGUCUUGGACACGAGGAAGAAAAGGAAUAUGUUAAUCCCUGUGUUACUGAUUUGCUAUUUUAAAUACAGAUUCCAGUUGUCCCUGGACCCACUAAGAAUGUGAGAGGGAAACACAGUGAUGAGGGGCUAUAAACCCAAGGGCCAGGACAUAAAGCAGAGAGAUAUGU